rnacentral:tRNA from 1 species
AAGGGGGACCUAAUUCAGGUAGGAGACGAAAAAAAAGUAGUCGCUACCAAGAAUCAAUCCCAAAAGGUCGGAGCGAGGCGAAAUUGGCUUUCAAACUAGGUUCUGGGUUCAAACAAGACCUGAAUCAGGAACAAGGGCUAUUAGCUCAGGUGGUUAGAGCGCACCCCUGAUAAGGGUGAGGUCCCUGGUUCGAGUCCAGGAUGGCCCACCUGCACAGGUGGCAAAAACAAGAGAAGCGAGGAAUCAGCACCUUAUCUUACUGACAUAGUAAGAGAGAAUGCUGGCUCUGAGUAAAGAGUCCAGAGGAACCUUGAAAACUGCAUAGAGCUAGGUGAAAAAGCCAAAAAAGAAGACCGCAA